rnacentral:rRNA from 1 species
GUACGACUUCUCAACUGUCUCAACCAUAGACUCGGCGAAAUUGCACUACGAGUAAAGAUGCUCGUUACGCGCGGCAGGACGAAAAGACCCCGGGACCUUCACUAUAGCUUGGUAUUGGCGUUUGGUUCGGUUUGUGUAGGAUAGGUGGGAGACUGUGAAGCAGGCACGCCAGUGUUUGUGGAGUCAUCGUUGAAAUACCACUCUGAUCGUAUUGAACCUCUAACCUCGGACCGUAUAUCCGGUCCAGGGACAGUGCCUGGUGGGUAGUUUAACUGGGGCGGUUGCCUCCCAAAAUGUAACGGAGGCGCCCAAAGGUUCCCUCAACCUGGACGGCAAUCAGGUGUUGAGUGCAAGUGCACAAGGGAGCUUGACUGCGAGACCUACAAGUCAAGCAGGGACGAAAGUCGGGACUAGUGAUCCGGCACCUCUGAGUGGAAGGGGUGUCGCUCAACGGAUAAAAGGUACCCCGGGGAUAACAGGCUGAUCUUCCCCAAGAGUCCAUAUCGACGGGAUGGUUUGGCACCUCGAUGUCGGCUCGUCGCAUCCUGGGGCUGGAGCAGGUCCCAAGGGUUGGGCUGUUCGCCCAUUAAAGCGGCACGCGAGCUGGGUUUAGAACGUCGUGAGACAGUUCGGUCUCUAUCCGCCGCGCGCGUCAGAAACUUGAGGAAACCUGUCCCUAGUACGAGAGGACCGGGACGGACGAACCUCUGGUGUACCAGUUGUUCCACCAGGAGCACGGCUGGA